rnacentral:tRNA from 1 species
ACCUGGGUGGCUCAGUCGGUGAAGCAUCUGACUUUGGCUCAGGUCAUGAUCUCGCGGUCUGUGGGUUCGAGCCCCGCGUCAGGCU